CCUACGGGAGGCAGCAGUGAGGAAUAUUGGUCAAUGGCCGGAAGGCUGAACCAGCCAUGCCGCGUGAAGGUCAGUGCCCUAUGGGCGUUAAACUUCUUUUGUGCGGGAGCAAUAAUGGUCACGUGUGGCCAGACGAGAGUACCGUACGAAUAAGCAUCGGCUAACUACGUGCCAGCAGCCGCGGUAAUACGGGGGAUGCAAGCGUUAUCCGGAUUUAUUGGGUUUAAAGGGUGCGUAGGCUGUGAGGUAAGUCAGCGGUGAAAUGCCCCCGCUCAACGGGGUGAAGUGCCAUUGAUACUGCCUGGCUUGAAUGCGGAUGCCGUGGGAGGAAUGUGUGGUGUAGCGGUGAAAUGCAUAGAUAUCACACAGAACACCGAUUGCGAAGGCAUCUCACGAAUCCGCGAUUGACGCUGAUGCACGAAAGCGUGGGUAUCAAACAGGAUUAGAUACCCUAGUAGUC
rnacentral:rRNA from 1 species